GUGUUCUUUCGGGGAUUUUGUGUAAGUCAAAAUCGGUGGUAAUACUCCACGAGUCCAAAAAACACGAUAAGGUGGAAAUCCUUAAGCGACCGUACAGUCGGGAUGAAAGGAAGAAUGU
rnacentral:ncRNA from 2 species